AGUAGCCCUAACUUGACUCCGUCGGUGGUGGAGAUUUGCUUUGCCCAGAACUGUAAUAAAUUUUGUCCCAGCCCUAACGUCGUCGUGCGAGGUGGUGGAGGAGUUGAUUCCUCCCAAAAGAGUAAUUAUUGAGCCCAGCCCUAACUUCACUCCGUCUGAGCCCUAAUAGUGCAAUGUCUUCAUCACAAUCUCAAUCAUCAUCUUCUUUGGGUGAUCGUUAUUUGAGAAAUGCUCCAAUAUGUUUAUGUGAGUCGAUUGCACGUCUCAAAAUCACACCUCAAGAAAUCCAAGAAGACAUUUUUCCACUUGUCCAAAGUACAAUAAGGAGGUCAUCACUUAAUCUCCUACACUGUUGAAGUGAUCUUUCUUUUUUCUACAUUGAUUUUUACAAGAUAUUUGCUGCAGGGAAAGCCAUACUGCAACUACUUUAUAUGGGCAGAUUUUGAAGAACGAAAUGAAAGUCCCUUUGCCAGGGAAAGAGAACUCCAGCAAAGAUAGGAAGAAGUCGAAAAGAGAGAGGUUGAAGUC